rnacentral:rRNA from 1 species
CAGCACCUCAAGUGGUCAGGAUGAUUAUUGGGCCUAAAGCAUCCGUAGCCGGCUCUGUAAGUUUUCGGUUAAAUCUGUAUGCUCAACAUACAGGCUGCCGGGAAUACUGCAGCGCUAGGGAGUGGGAGAGGCAGACGGUACUCGGUAGGAAGGGGUAAAAUCCUUUGAUCUAUUGAUGACCACCUGUGGCGAAGGCGGUCUACCAGAACACGUCCGACGGUGAGGGAUGAAAGCUGGGGGAGCAAACCGGAUUAGAUACCCGAGUAGUCC